rnacentral:rRNA from 1 species
UACGUAAGUGGCGAGCGUUAUCCGGAAUUACUGGGCGUAAAGUGUGUGUAGGCGGUUUAGUGUGUGGGAAUUGAAAGCCCGGGGCUCAACUCCGGAUCCGGUUCCCAAACUGCUAGACUCGAGAGUAUCAGAGGAGAGCGGAAUUCCCGGUGUAGCGGUGAAAUGACGCAGAUAUCGGGAAGAACACCCGUGGCGAAGGCGGCUCUCUGGGACGGUACUGACGCUGAGACGCGAAAGCGUGGGGAGCGAACGAGG